GCAUCUAGGAGGCACUAAAAAAUUUGUUGAAUGAAUGAACGAAGCACUACAGCAAUCAAUAAGAUUUCUGUUCAAUUAAAAAAUUUUCUAACUUAGGUUAAAACAAACACAUUGUACAGCUGUACAAAAAGAUUUUCUUUCCUUAUAUCCUUAUUCUACUGUAUUUGCCUAGCACAAUUAUGAUGCAAUUGUCUAUUUCUUUUGAAAUUUUCCAUUUGUUCACUUCCCAUUGCACCUAAAAGGAAGCAUUCAUUUAUUUAUCAAUUUUUCAUUUGCUAGAAUUUCCUGGUUGUACUUGUGAUUUGAGUUCAAGCAUAGAAAUAUCACUUUUCCAGAGGAAUUCUCUGUUCAAAAAAAACAUUCAAUAUCUUGUACAUUUAACAUCUUCCACCAUUUGUUUUAAUUUGCCUUGUCCACUUUAUCUCUUAUCACCUACUUGUCUGUUCAUUUGUUCAUUUACUGCUUAGUCAACAAAGUUCCCAAUGGCUAAACCCAGGUCCUAGCCCACGCUAGAGCCUCAAACAUUUGUCAGUUGACUGAUUCAUUUCUGCUAUCUCCCUGCUCCUGCAUCCAACCAUCCAUCUUUGACAUAACUACUGUUUACAGAAAAGAAAAAAAGAGGAAUCUGGUACUCUGGCAAAAACUCAAGAGAAAUAUCCAAAAUUAUGCUCAUCUAUCAUAUGCUACUUAAUUCUACCCAAUAGUCAUGAUGCAAAACUGUUCCUCCUCCAUUCUUCCUCAUCACAAAAAUAAAUGACUAAUAAGUACUAUUCUCUCAUUGCUGAUGUCCCAAUGACUUCUAAUCCAAGGUUUCUCAACCUUGGCACUGCUGACAUUUUAGGGGGCUAACAAUUCCUGUUGUAGAGGGCUGUCCUGUUCAUUUUAGGAUAUUUAGCAGCAUCUCUGGCCU
rnacentral:lncRNA from 1 species